GUUCGCUCAAUGAUGCUCUGGAUCCUGUUUCCUAUGUUGCUGCCAGUUUUCAGGUUGAAAGAUCCAUCAGUGCGAGAGCAGAAGCCACGCCUUGUUUUAGAAUGGUUUUGUCUACAGGGAUACCACAUCCAUGUAAUUUUUGGCGGAGGAAUACCAUACACGGUGCAUGUCAGCACUUGUUUGCUACUCAGUAAAUACAGAUUUGGAUCAGGGAAUGAUGACACAGCAUUUUCAUAUAUCUGGGGUUUCACAUUUACUUUAAGAGUGACUGUAAGAUUUUUAGACAAGUUCCACUGUCGUAAGCUCAAUAUUAUAGUGUAGUUUCCAGCAUCUUCCUCAGCAACAUCCUUGAUGAUUAAUGAAUAGUUUUUAACCAUGUACCGGGCACACUUUUC
rnacentral:lncRNA from 1 species